AGCAAUUUGGCGCAGUGGAAGCGCGCCGGGCUCAUAACCCGGAGGGUACGUCACACCAACGGUCUAGUCAGUAUACGGCAAACUAACAACUGCUAGUCGCACGAUCGAAACGUGCAAUUGCUA
rnacentral:tRNA from 1 species